UACCCUGCAAAGUACAUGCCUCUAGGGAAACAAACAAUAGGCCCCGUCAAUUUUCCAACAGGUUUUGAAAUCCAGAAAAGGCAGCACAUUUGUUGGCUUAAGCGAUAGGAAAUGGAGGAAGAAGCCCUGAAAAAAAGCAGUAACAUCUAUGAGGGAAGUGCUCGACGGUCCAUUUAGAAGAGGACACAGCAGCAGAAUCAACUGUUACAGAGGAGUGAAAUGUUGAAAUUAGGCCACUGCACUUGGCAGGUUCAGGGAAGUAGAGGGGCAGAAUUCUAAUUGCAGCAGUGAAUUGGGAAGUGAAUGAACGAUAAGAAAGUACAGGGAGUAGCGAGUAUUUUUUGAAGCGAACACGUUGUGAAGUAAAGGAAGGAAAAAGGAUGAUAGGCCGAUUUUCAGGAAGAAGGAAAGUUCUUUUAAUUUCCUUCUUUUCUUUCUUUUUUAGUCCAUAGACACAAGAGAAAGAGCCACUGGGGCAGGAGAGAUUGAAGAUAAAAGGAAGAAGGAGUACUUGAUAAGGCUAAGUCCCAGAGGAGGGCAGCAGGGACAGGAUCCAGAGCAGAGGGGUCCAGCUCACUCUGCACAGGAGGAAGUACUCCUCCGAGGACAGUUCAACAACGAUGGUGGUCAAGAUGCACGAGAACUCAGAGAGAAGUGUGGACUUUGUGCAGGAUGGUUUCCCUUUCUCUGCGGAGGAGGGGCAGGCCACCUGCUGAUGGCGAGAAGGACAGUGACAGGGUCUUUGUGGUGAACUGCAGAGGCCGCUUUGGGGCGUGUGAAAGGACACUGGAGCUGUCACGCUUGGCCAACAGCAGGUGACAGAAAACCUUGCUCAAACUGCCUGGGACGAAAAAGGAACUCCUGGUUCAUGUAGUGAAAAGUCCAAGGCCUGAGCGGCACCUGGGAGUUCAAACAAUGCCAUCAGAACUUGGUUUCUUUCCCUCCCUCUGCUAAUGUUGGCUCCAAUUCUCGGACACCACUGCCCAAUCCCUGACAAGGGAAAAAAGAGCCGUUUCCCUCCCGGAGGAGGGCGUGCCCAAGCGCUGACAAGGAGCUGGACCAGACCAAUUUGGGUCUUAAACUCAUCCUCCGACCAAUCACCAAGGCCCAGAUUUGGAGUACUCUGAUUGGCUGGCCCCAGGGCAUGUGAUCGCCUCUGACCCAAUCACUGCAGCAGGGGGAUUUCAGCGCGCUGAAGAGCCCGCCCUGCGGACGGUGCGGGGACGGGUUCUAACCCGAUUUCCUUGAAGGCGGAGGGAAGGACGUGGAGUGCCAACCCCAGGCAUUGGUUUAGGACGAGGAGGGCUCAUUAUGUUCUUCGUCAGGUGGAAAGGGGAGCCUUCUGCCGCCCGAGCCGGGGAGGAACUUCGGAUGACUGGCCGUCUGAAACAGCCCCGCCGGCACCGAGAAGAGGAGACAGCAAAAUACGAAUAAAAGGAUUGUGAGGAGGGCCCCAAGAUGAAGAGGGAGGCACAAAGAGGCUGUGUAACGGGUCCAAAGCUCCCCGGAUGGUAAAUGGCAGGGCCAGGAUUCACCUCCAGGAAGUCUGCGUGUAGAGCUCUUGAUAUUUAUAUAUCCAACCCAACUGACAGGUGGGAAAUACGGAGGCUUUGGUCCGGCCAACGGCGAGUCACAGUGCAAUCAGCUUCCCUGGUACCGCAGACAGAGCACGACCAUAUUCCCUUAAAACGUCGACUGUGGUAUUGCACCCACGUGUCAUGAGUACUCAUGCUUCUGAGAAGCACAGGACAGGGAGCAGGAUGCAGACGAUUUGGGGGAAGGCAUAUGAGUACAAGCUGCGUAUCUCUUAAAAGCAACCCACUGUUCGUUCAGAACAGCCCUGCAGUCUUGGUCAUUUGGUGUCUUAGAACCUGACCCUCCGUGCCUCUUUUACCCCAAAGCAAAAGGGGCUGGUGGAACACAGAAGGGAAGCUGUGUGCCGGUAGGUGAAACUCUUGUCUCAUUUAGCAAACCUGCACAUUCCAUGUUCUCAGUCUCCACGUGCAGGAGGGUACCUUCGUCCAAGCUUCGACAGCCCUUGUGUCCUGAUGGGGGGUGUGGGAAGGCGCAGCCCAGUCCUCUCCUCCUCCCCUCGACGCCCCGGCUCCUUGGUGGGAGAACACAUUCCACACGGUUCCUUGUGCCGCAAGUUUACCAGCGUCCGCCCGGGGCAUGGACCCGGUGGGCCAGCUGCCCCAUUGGGGGUCAGGUGUAAGGAAGCCCACUCUCCCACAGACAGAAGCCACAUUCUCCAGGAGUGGCUUUGUCUAUAAUAAAGGUAGUGUUCUGAUGUGCCAUCAGCCUGAUUCUCUCUGUCUGAAUUGAAUUACCUGUAUUUAAUUGAAUUUCUGAUCCGUUCCACUGAAAAUUUUGCAGAGCUAAGAGGAAACACCAGUUUGCCUCCCUGGGCUAUUUGCAAGAACCCUAAACGUGUAUCUGCUUUAAUGGAGAUAGUUAAACAAGGAAUUUAGCUGGGCAAGACUUGUGCCCCUACACUGUGAGCUGUUACCAAGGCAGCAGAAUUGUGGCAGCACCGAGCCCCCUUCCUGUGUGCAGAACACACACCGCAGCAACCCUUGUAAAAAUGUAUAUAUAACUUAUAUGUAUACAAGUGCGAGGAUUCAGGCCAAGAUGACAACCACAGUUUGGACCACUGUCGUAGAGUGUGGCGUGUGUGGUGGUCUGAGAACGGUCUUCGUGGCCGGUCCUCCCUCUUCCCUUUCUGUCUGUGCCUUCUUUUACUGGGAAUCAAACUAAAAAGUGACGUGGUCUCCCAAUUUUGCCGCCACGCUCAGGACGUUUGAGUACUAAUAAGAUCGUAAUACGUGAAGAAUGGCGAAUGGCUGAGUCAGUCAUGCCCUCAUGGUCGAGGCAAGUGCUCUAUUCUAAUUUCCGAGCCCCGGAUAUCCUCAUACUGCUCUGGGCUUCUGUCACUCUUGGCCUGAGGCCCCCCUGAGACGGAAGAGGCUUCAGAAAUAGGCUGGGUGUGAGUGACCUGAUUCUCAAAGGCCGCCGGCCCCCUCUUGAGUCUGGAAACUUCUAGAGGCUCCUGGAUGUCCAAAUGCCCGGGAAAGUCAUCGAUUUAGACACACGACUGAGUUUAUACGUGUGCAUGUGGCAGAUAUAAUGUGGGAGGGGCAUAUACUCUAGUUGGAGGAUUACACUAGUACGUAAAGUAUUAGUAAUAAUAGAGGGGGACAGAGCCUGAUCAGCAAGCACUGAGAGUCAGAGGAAAAUUAGGACAACAAAUAUUUGAGGGGAUUGGGGAUUUGGGGGGAAAGAUCCCAUCAAGCUGGAGGGGUCAGAGAAAGAUUUUAAGAACGGGCCUUGCAGAGUGGAUAAAAUGAAGAUCUGCAUGUAGGGAAAGGAAGGCUGUGCUACCCAGGGGAACGAAGACCCCUGCCAUCCGCCUCCCUGUUGUCAACACCGGCCUGGUAGGUGUCUUCCAACCUUUCCAACGUGUUGGGCACCAGCUCCGUGCAGAGUACUUUGGUUUUAGGUCGUGAAUGGCUACAAUCCGCUGCUGUGAUAAACUGGGCCGGGUGGGAUGGAACCUCUCCCCUCGGAGCGUCCAGGGAGGCCUUGCCAUGUGGCUGGAUGCUGUGUGUGUCUCUGUCUAUGUGUGUGUCUGUUUGGGGGGGGGGGGGGGUGUGAGUCUGUGCCUGCACCCUGCAGCCCGCCCUCCCGUGCUUUGAGGAGCUGGCCCUGGGGCCCUGCGGUCCCCCUCUAAGGCUGCACAGCUCUCCCGCCCUGUGUUAUUAUCUGUUGGGUUGAGAGUUCCAUGGCCCCUUUUUCCUUGAUUCUCUUCCUCAACCUGGGGACUGUCAUCCCCUUACUGACCUCUCUCUUCUCAUUUGUUACCUGGGAAAGUGUCCUUUUCUCUCCUUACUUUAUAUGCUCCUUCUGAGCGGUCUGACCUACUUCAAACAGUUACGACUGUCACCGUAUACCCGGGCAACUCCAAAAUCAAUACCUCAAGCUUUAUUUUUAUUCUAAAUUGAGCUGCAGUCACAUUCCCGUAUUUCCUCUUCCUGAGGGACAUCGUUAGGUGUUUCAAAUCGAACAUGUUAAAAAUGGAGCUCAUUUCCUUCUUCCUAAAAACACCCCUCAUCUCCUUCGCUCUUCACCUUCCUUAUUCAACUUGUUCCGAGCUGUGUCAGGUGUAUCUCAGAUUUGUUCCCCAAACUGACCCGACUUCUUAUCCUGUGUCAUUACCAGACCACCUCUCAGCAGGUCAGAAGCCGUGAACUCAAUUGGCUGCCUCCAGAAUCUCUCCUCUUGGGUUCAUUUGAACAUUGAUUUUCCUAAAAAUAAAUUCUGGCUUCUCACUGAAAACUUAGACCCUUCCAUAUCGCCUUCCUCCUGUCCCCAUCCCAUAUCUUAUGCUCUUUUAUAUCUAACUUCUGAUGAGCUCCUAUUCAUCCUUCAACACCUGUGGGAUUUUGUUUUAAUUUUUAAAUGUGUAUUUAUUUUUGAGAGAGACACAGAGCACAAGUGGGGGAGGGAUAGAGAGAGAGGGAGACACAGGAUCCGAAGCAGGAUCCCAAUGCGGGGCUCAAACUCCCGAACUGCAAGAUCACGACCUGAGCCGAAGUCGGACGCUCAACCGACUGAGCCACCCGGGCACCCCGACACCUGUGUUUUGAUCAGAGUCCCUUCCAUGAAGACGAAACAGGCAUCGCUUGAACUUCAGGAAGGCAGAGAGCUCGGCAGCCCCCCAUCACGGUGUGGAACCAUCCAGGAAUGCUGGGACCAAGGCUUGGAGAGACAUAGGGCAUCGCGGAGUGGAGUGCCGUCGUCAGAGGACUCUGGUCCCCAACAGGUGCCCUGGAAGGACUUGGUGAGUGGAGCAGGCUCUUGCCUUCGGGCUCAGAACAAGAGUGUGGGCUGGCCAAGCUUCCUCAGUCUCCUCGCUGCACUGAGAGGCGGUCUGUAUUGGCUUCCAGCUGAUGGUGGACAAGUUUAUCAAUCUCUGUAUUCCCAAGGCCCGUGUUCAAUGAAUGAGUGUUCACGGAAUGAAAGUCUGGGUGAAUUUAUUAGAAGAGCUUCAGGGGUUUUCCUUGGUUUUAGUUUUUGAAUAAUGUAAGAAAGGGGCAGAUUCUCUGAGCAACCCAUUGCCCAAGGGGUGUUACCGGCGCAGGUGCAGGAGCCAUGGCACCCUGAGUUCCAGCCCCCAUACAUGGUGUUCCUCUGUCUUCUCUGACCCUUCGACCAGGGGAAGGGAUCCAGCAGGCUUGCGGUCUUCAGCAGUGUUAAAUAACUAACAAAAACCCAACUGAGGACGUUUUAAAGAUCUAAUUGUCUUUAUUAAUGAAUUCGAGAAUCAGGCAGCAUCCCACCUGGCAAGGAGAGGGGAACUCAGGAAUUGUAAAAUCUGGAGGGUUUUUAGAAGGAGGGUGUGGCAAGAAAGUGAUUAGCAAAAGAAAGGGAUUGUUCCAGGCCAAGCCCCUUUCCCUUAGGGGGAAAGGUGGGGGUUUUACCAAGUCGUUCACCUCACCUUCCUUCAGGGGAUGGGGAAGGCCCCAGAACCAGGCUCACCAGCCUCGACUAAACAAUUCCUGACGGCGGGGUUAAAAGCGCAUCUCUGCGGGAGGUUAAAACUGCAAUCAGCUGAGCUGGUAAGCCCUAGUCUGGGAUCUUGGUCUCAGUAACACCCAUUUUCGAAAAAGAAAAGCCUGUGGAUUUCUUUUUAACAGGAGCAUGCCACGAUCAGGGCAAACUUCCGCAUCUCAGAGAGGAGACGUCAGUGUUAGAUGUGGACCAAAGGACAAAGCUAAUGUUACUGAUGUGGGAACAGAGGCAAAAAGAAAUAUAGAUAGAAUUAAAUUUCCUUAUAACCCACAGCCCACUGACAAAGACUCGAGGCGGGCAGAGUGUGACCUUCCUCCGGGAACUCCCAACUGUCUUAAAGUCAAUGCUUUGCUGGAGGGAAAAACAACCUUAGCCUGACAAUAGCUAGGCCUCCAGGAUCCUGUGAGUCUUUAGCAUAUGAAAGUCCAUUUGGAAACUUUGCGUCUUUACUUCCCCCAGUUCCCAAGUAUAUAAUCAGUCACCCCUCACAAUCCCAGUGCAGCACUUUCUGCCCAAGGGUCCUGUCCCCAUGCUUUAAUAAAACUACCUUUUUGCACGGAAGACAUCUCAAGAGUAGGCUGCGAACCCUAACAUUUCCACAUCAUUACCACUUCUACCUGGAAGGCAGGAAUUGAGUGACCCUUUUGAGCCUCUGCUCUCUCCCCUGUAAAGCAGAACCACAACUCCUUGAGAAUUACAGAAUGCGGGAGCCAGGGGGGAGACCUGGAUCCAGUCCCCAGGGACCAUUGCUGUAACUUCUGCCCAGUAACAGUUGUGGUGUACUGUAUUUAUGUCUGUCUCUCCCACCAUAACCAACUCUUCUCUGUCUUUGAAACCUCAGUGCCUUAUACCCAGGAAGGCCUCAGGUAAAUGUCUGUUGAGUAAAUAAUGAAUACAAGAAGAAAGAGAAAGGAAUCGGUGAAGUACAAUACAGCCUUCCACAGGAACUGUGAGAAACAAAAUCGCCUGGAGAAUUCAGGCUCGUGCAUUCAGAAUUAGUUCACAUUUGGCAAUUAACAGCGUCAGCCAGUCAAUGUUUGCUGGGAGAAAGGACGUGAGAAAGAAUCCAGAGUCUGCAAGCCUUCGUGACACGUCACUGAGUUUCUGAACCUUGAGGACGGUGCCUGGAUUGACCGACAAGCACUUCCUCUCCUUAUUUCCACGGCAAGUCCUUUCUUGAGCAGCCUCCUAUGAUGGGAUGUUAACCCAGUAUUUACAUUUGGUGGAGGAUCCGUGGUUGGUGACAGCUGAGGCUUUACAAGGUGAGCUGGUGACUGCGAGCGGGGCCUCUGAGGACGUCUCCUGCGUUGCCACUGAGUUACGACAGGCCGAACAGGAGGACGCGGUCAGAGCCGGCCCCUGGAGCAGACCACAGUGUGCCCUCCCCAGUGAGCUCCCCUGAAAUGGCCUAGAACCUGUACAGAGGGGGGAGGGAAGUACCACCGAUGGUGAGCGUGCCCAUGACCUUGACCACAGAACCGCAUCAGGCAAGCUGACAUCCCGAGAGCCUCUCUCCGAACCUUCACCUGGCCCACUCACUGGGGCCAGGCUGGCAGGAAGCAUCCGGGAGUCGAGGAAAGGGGACAGUGGUGGCUUCAGAGGCUAGACGCAGAGAGAGAAGCAGAGGCAGGUGGGAGGGCUGAGACAGGAUUUCAUGGGCUCUGAUCCUGUUUCAGAGUAAAACGGCCGAAGGGAAGGAGAAGCCAGGAUAGCGUGUUUACAUCAGAAGAGGCUCUUUCCAUUAGCUGUUGUGCAAGACAGCAGGAAUGAUGCCUUCCACUCCACGAUUGAUUCCUCGUGAUUUUCCUUUCAUAUAUCAGAAAGCCAGGCUUUCUACGCUGCAAACACACCGGGAGCAACCAAAGUAGCAACACCGGCUUUUUGGAGAAGUGAGGUUAAUUAUUCAGAGGCCAUCUGAGUUUUAAAACCAUCUGGUCAACAUUGCAGAGACAGGAGUCUCCAGUAGAUGGCAGCACUAAGACAGCAGCACCACAUAGUCUCAGACUCCAGAACAUUCACAUCGUGCGUGAGCAGCACUCCUCGUGUUGGAACCUGUGUUAUGACUCAUUACCAGUGAAAAUAUUCACUAAAUGUGCUAUAGUCAUAACAGGAUGAGUCAUUCAUUCAAUCUUAUUCACUCGUAAAAUAAGAGAAAUAAGAAAGUCCACUUUUCCUGCAACCUCUAAUCUGAGGGCUGUGUCUUUGUGUCCCAAUUUCCAGAAAAUAAACAUGGUGAAUACUGUUGAAAUUCAUUGCUUCAACCAGGAACAAUAUCUUUUGCUUGGAGACUUGCUUUUGCUCUAAGAUCUGAAAAACUGAAAUUUUGGAUUUCUCCUAUGUAAUACAGACUUUUGGUAAAAGGGACGUGCAGUAUUUUGGGUGUCUCAGAAAGUAAACUGGUCUUUUUUCUGGACAACAGAAGAUUGAACUUAGUUGCUUUAGUGACAGGUUAUGAGUUAAGUAUAUUCCUAGAAAGGCAUAUGCUCUUUUUGUUAAAAUAAGUAGGCUGAAGUAUAAACCUAAUUAUUAUUCCAAAAGAAAUGCAGAGCUUCCUAAAUAAGUGUCUGUAUAUGCAUGUACUUUGUAAGCGUAUAUAUUUAUAGCUUAGCAUAUUUUUCUUAUUUAAGAGUUAUAUAUCUGCCAUGAAUCUCUGGUAUGUAGAAAUAGAUCACAAUUCACAUCGUAGGAAAAGUUCUUUAAAGUGUAAUUUCAUUUUAUACUAAGACUGUAGAUGGAUGUUGCCUCAGAGGUCUGUGCUUGGGCCAAGUGGUAUUUUUUUAAGUUUAUUUAUUUGAGGGGGGAGAGGAGCAGAGAGAGACAGAGAAGGAGGCAGAUAGAAUCCCAAGCAGACUCCACACCCUCAGCACAGAGACUGCCACAGGGCUUGAACCCACGAACCGUGAGAUCAUUACCUGAGCCAAAACCAAGAGUCGGACGCUUAACUGACUGAGCCACCCAAGUGCCCCAAGCCAAGUGUUAUUCUUAAAAGCAAGCCAGCCUAUGGCUAGCUGUUUGUAGCUGGCAAAUCCCAGAGCUAACUGUGAAGCACAGGGCACCUUACCUUAGUAGAUUGCCCCGAGUGGUGGAAAUUGCAUUUGGGAUAAAAGACAGUUCAUCUGAAUGUACCUGAAAUUCCUUAAAGGGCCAUGGUGGAGACAGAUAGUUGUUCUCUGAAAAUGGAAUAUGCUGACUCUUGCUGUCCACAGUCCUGUGUGCACUCUGUGAUAUUUGGUUAUCAUACAUCUAAGAAAAAUCAUUUUUACAAUUGUUUCAACUCUAUCGCAGAGGACCUGAAUCCCAGUCCCACCAGCGAAACUUCUCGAUGCAUUCUGUAAGUGGCACACAGGCAGAAGGGACGAUAAAGGGUCUAAAAGCUUUAAAAAAAAGUCGCAUUCAACCUUUGCCUCCGUUUCUUUGUCUAUAAAAUAAGGGCUGUGGCUGGUGUGGCUUCUAAGGGCUCUUUCAGCUUUCACAUUUCAAUAUUUCCUCUUCUGGAGGUUCUGGGAGAGGAUUGAGGAUUUAGCUCCUCCCCUUCCUUCUGUGCAACUCUGCCAGAAGUAAGAGAGAACGUUCUUUUUGUUUCAGCAGAUUCAAAUAAGCUGGCCAAAAGGAUAGUAUCGAAGAAACAUAGUGGGCCUUCCGUGAUUCCCCAAAACCUAAGUCCUUAUUUUUAACAUACAGCUUUUCGUACUAGCUCCCUAAGUCUCAGAUCCUUACAAAGGUAAAUAUUGUGCUCUCUGUAACUACAUUCAGAAAACCAAUUCUCUAUAUCUGUCUGGAUUGCCUCCUGGCAGGAAGCAAAUGUCAGCUCAUUCCUGUGUAAUCGAUCCGCGGCAUCUUAGUUUCGAGGCUUAGCCAAAGCAGUUACUAAUAGAUUUUAGAUGACAGAUAUGGAAUUUUCUUCUCUUGUCCUUCAGUGGGAAAAUCAGAAGGACAGAACUGCGAUAGUAGGGUUUUGAUGUCUUCGUGGUAACGUGGGGGAAGCUGAAAACAAUGUUAAGAAAGAAAAUAUUGGAAUAUGUAUAUAUCAAUGAUGUUUCACUUGUCUUCUUAAUGAACACAAAUUUAUUGAAUAAGUCUGGCGGGUAAACUAAAUUUGUUUGCAUUAUUGUCAAAUUUCAUUAAACUUGGGACCAGGUUUAAAAGCACCAGAACAAUGCAUGGAACACAGUCACUCAACAAAUGUUAAUACCAUUUUUUAUAGAGUGUA